AUAUCAAUAAGCGGAGGAAAAGAAACCAACAGGGAUUGCCCCAGUAACGGCGAGUGAAGCGGCAACAGCUCAAAUUUGAAAUCUGGCACCUGGUGCCCGAGUUGUAAUUUGCAGAGGAUGCUUUUGGCGAGGCGCCUUCCGAGUUCCCUGGAACGGGACGCCAUAGAGGGUGAGAGCCCCGUCUGGUUGGAUGCCGAGCCUCUGUAAAGCUCCUUCGACGAGUCGAGUAGUUUGGGAAUGCUGCUCUAAAUGGGAGGUAUAUGUCUUCUAAAGCUAAAUAUUGGCCAGAGACCGAUAGCGCACAAGUAGAGUGAUCGAAAGAUGAAAAGCACUUUGAAAAGAGGGUUAAAAAGUAC
rnacentral:rRNA from 1 species